rnacentral:rRNA from 1 species
UGAUGUGAAAGCCCACGGCUCAACCGUGGAGGGUCAUUGGAAACUGGAAAACUUGAGUGCAGAAGAGGAAAGUGGAAUUCCAUGUGUAGCGGUGAAAUGCGCAGAGAUAUGGAGGAACACCAGUGGCGAAGGCGACUUUCUGGUCUGUAACUGACGCUGAUGUGCGAAAGCGUGGGGAUCAAACAGGAUUAGAUACCCUGGUAGUCCACGCCGUAAACGAUGAGUGCUAAGUGUUAGGGGGUUUCCGCCCCUUAGUGCUGCAGCUAACGCAUUAAGCACUCCGCCUGGGGAGUACGACCGCAAGGUUGAAACUCAAAGGAAUUGACGGGGGCCCGCACAAGCGGUGGAGCAUGUGGUUUAAUUCGAAGCAACGCGAAGAACCUUACCAGGUCUUGACAUCCUCUGACACCUCUGGAGACAGAGCGUUCUCCUUCGGGGGACAGAGUGACAGGUGGUGCAUGGUUGUCGUCAGCUCGUGUCGUGAGAUGUUGGGUUAAGUCCCGCAACGAGCGCAACCCUUGACCUUAGUUGCCAGCAUUUAGUUGGGCACUCUAAGGUGACUGCCGGUGACAAACCGGAGGAAGGUGGGGAUGACGUCAAAUCAUCAUGCCCCUUAUGACCUGGGCUACACACGUGCUACAAUGGAUGGUACAAAGGGCAGCGAAGCCGCGAGGUGAAGCCAAUCCCAUAAAACCAUUCUCAGUUCGGAUUGCAGGCUGCAAC